rnacentral:tRNA from 1 species
GAUCCGGUAGCCAAGUGGUAAGGCAAGAGUGUGCAAUGCUCUAAUCGUAGGUUCGAAUCCUACCCGGAUCUCCA